AUUCAGCUAACUAGUUCAAAAUGGGACGAAACGCACGUCCUAAAU
rnacentral:hammerhead_ribozyme from 1 species